GACGAACGCUGGCGGCGUGCUUAACACAUGCAAGUCGAACGGAAAGGCCUCUUUUGUGGGGUGCUCGAGUGGCGAACGGGUGAGUAACACGUGAGUAACCUGCCCUUGACUUUGGGAUAACUUCAGGAAACUGGGGCUAAUACCGGAUAGGAGCUCCUGCUGCAUGGUGGGGGUUGGAAAGUUUCGGCGGUUGGGGAUGGACUCGCGGCUUAUCAGCUUGUUGGUGGGGUAGUGGCUUACCAAGGCUUUGACGGGUAGCCGGCCUGAGAGGGUGACCGGCCACAUUGGGACUGAGAUACGGCCCAGACUCCUACGGGAGGCAGCAGUGGGGAAUAUUGCACAAUGGGCGGAAGCCUGAUGCAGCAACGCCGCGUGCGGGAUGACGGCCUUCGGGUUGUAAACCGCUUUCGCCUGUGACGAAGCGUGAGUGACGGUAAUGGGUAAAGAAGCACCGGCUAACUACGUG
rnacentral:rRNA from 1 species